AGAGAGAGACAUGCGCGCAUAUCAAUAAGCGGAGGAAAAGAAACUAACAAGGAUUCCCUUAGUAACGGCGAGUGAGGCGGGAAGAGCUCAAAUUUGAAAUCUUCAAGGUUUUACCUUGACGAAUUGUAGUUUAAAGAAGUGUUUUCUGCUGAAGUUUUGGUAAAAGUUCUUUGGAAUAGGACAUCAUAGAGGGUGAGAAUCCCGUAUUUGACCAUUAUUUUCAGCUUUGUGAUACACUUUCAAAGAGUCGGAUUGUUUGGGAAUGCAGUCCAAAAUGGGUGGUAAAUUUCAUCUAAAGCUAAAUAUUGGCGAGAGACCGAUAGCGAACAAGUACCGUGAGGGAAAGAUGAAAAGAACUUUGAAAAGAGAGUUAAACAGUACGUGAAAUUGUCAAAAGGGAAGCGUUUGACACCAGUGUUGUUUUCUCGAAAAUCAAUUAAAAAUGGCUCGAUUUUGUAUUGCUUGAGACCUUAAAAGCUCACUGUACAUUUUUCGUGUCUUUUUUAAUGCACUUUUCGUUUAACAAGUCAACAUCAGUUUCUUUUGUUGUAAAAGGGUCAUUGGAAGGUGGCUUUCCUUUCGGAGAAAGUGUUUAUAGCCUUUGGCCUCUGCAAUCGGAGAGACUGAGGUCUGCAGCGUAGACUCUUCGGGGUUAGAUACAUUUGUGCUAAGUUAUAGCUUUUUAUAGACAACUUGUUGACUAUAAUUAGUCUUGUAGCUUACUCGCUUAUGCUAUUUUACCUACGCUUAGGAUGUUGAGUCGUAGAGCACGCAG
rnacentral:rRNA from 1 species